AUGUCUGUGGCUCCACACUUCAAUCUUGGACUUGUUCCCAGGGACAUGAAUGGUAGCAUUCCAGUUAGUUCUGCAAAUUCCUCUGGGCCAAGUAUUGGUGUUAGCUCUUUGGUUACCGAUGGCAACUCAUCACUCUCUGGAGGUGCCCAGUUUCAGCAUAGUACGAGCAUGAAUGCUGAUUCAUUCAUGCGCCUUCCUUCCUCACCGAUGUCAUUUUCAUCCAAUAACAUAUCUGGUUCGUCAGUCAUUGAUGGGUCUACCAUGCAGCAAAGUCCACCUCAAGAGCAGAUGCAGAAGCGGAGAUCAUCUAGUGCAACAUCACAGCCUGGGAUUGAGGCUGAUGGUUCAUUUCAUGGUCAGAAGAAGCCAAGGGUUGAUAUUAGGCAAGAUGAUAUCCUGCAACAGCAUUUGAUUCAGCAGCUGCUCCAAGGCCAGAGUUCUCUUCAUUUCCAGGGCCAACAUAAUCCACAGCUUCAAGCGUUAAUCCGGCAGCAGAAACUGGCACAUAUUCAGCAUCUACAGAAGCAUCAGUUGUCGCAACAGUUUCCUCAGAUCCAGCAAUCUCAAGUUGGCAUACCUCGACAGCCGCAGUUGAGGCCGCCGCUAGCACAGCCUGGGAUGCAACUACCUGGGCGUGUUAGGACACCUGUCGAGAGCGGGCUUUGUUCUCGUAGGUUAAUGCAGUAUUUGUAUCAUAAGCGUCAGCGUCCAGAGAAUAAUUCCAUAACAUACUGGAGGAAGCUUAUUGAUGAAUAUUUUGCACCACAAGCAAGAGAAAGAUGGUGUGUGUCGUCAUAUGAAAAAAGAGGGAAUUCUCCGCUUGCUAUUCCACAGACAGCUCAGGAUACAUGGCGUUGUGAUAUUUGUAAUACACAUACUGGGAAAGGAUAUGAGGCUACCUACGAAAUACUUCCUAGACUCUGUCAAAUUCGAUUUGACCAUGGUGUUGUAGAUGAAUAUCUAUUCCUUGACAUGCCCAAUGAAUUCCGGUUGCCCAAUGGAUUACUUCUCCUGGAGCAUACUAAAGUUGUUCAGAAGAGCAUCUAUGAUUAUCUACAUGUUACGCACGAGGGCCAACUGAGAAUAAUAUUCACUCCGGAACUAAAGAUUAUGUCUUGGGAGUUCUGUUCACGACGGCAUGAUGAGUAUGUCACUCGCAGGUUUCUAGCACCGCAGGUUAAUCAUCUGCUUCAAAUUGCCCAGAAGUAUCAAGCUGCUGCCACUGAAAGUGGGCCUGCUGGGGUAUCGACCAAUGACGCACAAGCCAUUUGCAACAUGUUUGCGUCAGCAUCACAACAACUAGCGAAAAAUCUAGACCACCACAGCUUAAAUGAACAUGGGCUUUCUAAAAGAUAUGUUCGGUGCUUGCAGAUAUCAGAGGUGGUGAAUAACAUGAAGGACUUGAUUGAUUUCAGCCACAAGAACAAGCUUGGCCCUAUAGAGAGCCUGAAGAACUAUCCCAGACAAAAUGGGCCAAAGCUUACAAUGCAGAACAUGCAUGAGGAAAAGGGGGCCAACACAGAAAUUAGCACCCAUGGGAAUAACGAGGCCCCAGGUGUCGGAACCAUUUGUAGCAGUCCGCAGAAUGCCGUGGCACAAAAUAACUACCAGAAUAUGCUGAGAAGCUCAAGUGCAAACCAGGGUUUGCUUCAGCAGGAGGCGUCACAGAAUGCCACGGCACUAAACAAUUACCAGAACAUGCUUAGAAGCUCAAGCGCAAACCAGCUUCAGCAGGAGGCAUCGCAGAACACUGCGGCGCUAAACAAUUACCAGAACAUGCUCAGGAGCUCGAGCGCGAACCAGAGCUUGCUUCAGCACGAGGCAUCGAGUAUGUUCAAAGGUCCUACAGGAAUGCACAAUGGCGUUCAGCUGGAAGUGUCCAGAUCUUUCCGUGCAGGUCAGCUCGGGCAGUUCCAGCAGCAUCCCAUGUCGUUUCAGCAAGCCAUGCCCCAGCAUCAGCAGAACAGUUUCGGGGCUGGUGCGAGCACACAGUACCAGCAGCACCUCAUCCAGCAGCUGCUGCAAGAAGCCAAGAGUAGCAACAGCCGUGUAAUGGCGCAGCAGCAGCAGCAGCCUCCUAGCGUGUCGGGACCCGUGAUCACCAACAACCCUGCUAGUGGAGACCAGGCACAUCACAUGAAUAACGGAGCCGUGGAGGGCGCCGCUCCAACGGGUACGACAGGGCCCAGCAAUCUGAUCAACAGUGGAGCCGGCAUCAUCCAACGAUGCAGCAGUUUCAAGUCGGUGAGCAGCAACCCGGCUGCCGGCGUGGCCGCUUCCGGCGGCAACCCAGCGAGUCCCAAGGCGGCGGAGUCCAUGCACGAGGAGGACGAGCUCGACCAUCUCAUCAGCAGCGAACUCGCGGAGAGCGGGCUGUUCAUGGGGGAGCAGCAGGGUGGCGGCGCCUACUCGUGGAACAUGUGA
rnacentral:rRNA from 1 species